AAUGGCCUAUGAUGAAUAAAAGUUUUGCCUACAUUGUCUGAUUCUUAUGAAGAGUAUAAUGAAGAUUUCUGAGGCCUUU